AAAGUCGUAACAAGGUUUCCGUAGGUGAACCUGCGGAAGGAUCAUUACAGUGCCCAGCGGGAGCGUCAAUCACCUUGGCGUCUCCCGCGACCGGCCACCCGUGUCUACCUUACCUUCUGUUGCUUCGGCGGGCCCGUCUCCCCGACUCGCGGUGGGACCGCCGGGGGAGCGUACUCACGCACCCCCUGGCCCGCGCCCGCCGAGGGACCCCUUGAACUCUUGUGAAGAUAGUGUCGUCUGAGUGGAUUGUGAAAUGAAAUAAAACUUUCAACAACGGAUCUCUUGGUUCCG
rnacentral:misc_RNA from 1 species